AAAUGGGUUAACUCUGCCCCCUUUUUGAUCUGAAAGCUGUCCUUGUAAAACAACUGGAAAUUCUGUAAGAAUUGCAUCUCCUGCAACUGUUUUCUUCAUGGUCCCUUCAAAGAGUAUGUGACAUCUUAAAUGUGGGGAACAGAACUUCUACUCCAUGAAGCUGUGAUCUCGUGGGUGACAGGACUGGGAGACAUAUGUAGUAGGAGAAUCAACUGUAGGCAAACAUCACUCAGGGCUGUUUUCAAGGACACCCAAGGAUCAAGGUCCCGUGUCAUUCCCAUGAGUUCCACACUGCUGCUUCAUCAUCCCUGGUGCUGGAAAGCAGGCCCUCAAUUUCACCUGGAUAUUUCUGUCAUUUAAAGACCAUCAUUUCUUGCCCUAUCCCAGAACAUCAUUGUGUAUGUAUGCUCUGCCUGCUUUAAUGUAGUGUUUGCUUUUCAGAGAGAGCACAGAAGCAAAGGAAGCUAAGUUGUGCCUUGGAAAGUGGCUGGCAAGCCUUUCUGGCUAAGCAAGGUUUUGACCGGAAGACUAAAAACUCAGCUUAUAUUGUACCUGUAUGGCUUUAAAGCCAGGUGUAUUGGCUGCUAGAAUGUAAUGAGUGGAUACCACAACAGGAAUAUGAGAAGAUUUAUUGCUAAGACCGUGAGGUGGUGGAGUCUGUGCUUGUGAUCUGUCGUGUGGCAAGAGCAAGAAACAGCAGUAACCAAGACCUUGUUCAGGUUGCCAUCGACACUCGGUACUGCUAUGUACCUUCUGCAUGGAGACUGCAGAAACCUUGCGAAGCUCCAUGGUUGCUGCAAAGCUGAACUGCGAGUCUGCAUGGUGUGCAUGGUGGUGCCACUAGAUGUCCCUUGUCACCCAAGUGAUGUUGGUGGCUCAUCCCCAGUGCUAUAUGAUGUAGCACUGUAAAGAAAUCAGUGUUUAAAGCAUUCGAUAUAGAGAGAUGUUGUGGCUGUCUCAAAAAGAAGACUUGUGUUAUCCUCAGAAAGCUGACAUCUUGGCGAGGACAUCUGUGCCACUCAGCAUGCCUAUGCCCUUGCACAGCUUCACCUGGGCUUCUGUGGAGUGAUUCCUGCUCGCCCUUGUCCCCCAUGGUGCUCUGUGCACCUACCAUUGCUGUAUGAGUAGGGGGAUGCGCCUGUCCCCAUGCUGCCCUGAAAGCUUCUGUGCCGUGUUAUCAGCCCCAGGAUGUGUCGCUGCAGUGUGUGAUCGCGCAGACCAUGCUGUUGAGUAUUCAGAGUCACAUACGCUCGCCUGAAUGACUGAAAUGAAGUAUUUGCUGCUUUCUACUUCAUUUAAACCUGCGGGAGCUGGUAGUGCUCAUCCUCCCCACACACUGAGGUAUCCACACGUGCCACUUGCCAGCCUGGGGCUUCUUCCCCAAGCAAUGGCUGAGCAAAUCUCUUAAUAACAGAGCAACUACUCGCAGAUUAUUGUGAUCAUAAUUUGGCUGACAUAGCCUUUAUUACUAAUGGCAAUGCUGGAAAUGGAAAACCCAGCUUGAUGCUCAGCUCCCUGCUGGAAAGUAAUAAAAUAAAGAGGAACAAAAUCAGUGAGUGUAUUUGCUACCAAACCUUUGAAAAACACAAAAGUGGAACCCUGCCAAUGCUCUUGCUGGCGGUUUUUCAGACCAGAGCCUCUCUCCAAGCUUUUGGAGCGCCGCUACCAUCAGCUGCUCUAACACCAGCAUGAAGUGUGAAGGUACCAUCUCUCUUCACAGUGGCUCUGCAGAUAGCAGUGCUGCCCAUUUGUAUGACCCAAGAGGCUGUGCAACGCUUUAAGGCUUAAAUUCUGCAUCUCAGCAGCCAAAAUGUGUGGCUAAUAAAUCCCGAACGCUGACAAAGGGUGCGUAGGAUCGGGAAUCUCAGCCCACAGGAUGAACUGGGAAGUGGAAGGUGGAGAUGAUGGCUGAAGUCUGCCAAGAUUCAGAGGAGCACAGCAGCGUGCCAGACCCUCUCUGGAUGUGAGCACUGCGAGAAGAUGGAUCAGAUGAAUAUCUCACAGUUGGUGGAUGAGAUCCCUAGAACUACGAUGGAGCGUUCAAGUUAUUACAAAUUCUUCCUUCCUCCUCAUCUUUGAUGACUGCCUUCUUUGGACGACACAGUGAGCUGCCUGAUUUUGUCACAUCUAUGUGAAGAGCAUUUCCCUAGAGUGCAAUGUGAGCCCAGUUCUUUGCUCUGCUGCAACAUAUCCUAAGAGAAAAAAAGAUAGAAGAAUGAAAACAAGCUGGAAAGAGACAAAUUCCAUCUCAAUACCUGUUUUUCCUCAGCAGAAUUAGAACUGCAUAUUAGCACAGAUUUAUGCUACUGGAACUAAUGGAGUGCCACUCCUAGUCAUGUGUCGUCAUCCUCUGAGUGAAACACUCCCAGAAGAGGGUUGCUGAUGAGCACUGGUGAGAAACAUGAACUGAGGCUUUGCUUCUUGACUGGUGGGACAGGUAAUCAGGUAGAUGAAUACUCCAGACAUAAGUUCAUCUGCUGUGUCUCCUCCAGCUUCUGACCAUCUGUGUUCUUUGCCUUCCCCACUUCAUCUCAGACCCGGUCUCCUCAUGUAGCAAGUCA
rnacentral:lncRNA from 1 species